ensembl:lncRNA LINC00320 long intergenic non-protein coding RNA 320
AGUAGAAGGAUAACAUGACAUAGCAGGAAUAAUACUGCCUUUUCUUUCUGGCAUGGAUCAAGAGAAAAGAAAAUACAAGAAAACAGACAGAAGAUCCUAUCUGCGACAAUUAAGAGCACUCUAAGAGGAAAACACAUCCCACCACACAAGGCAAGGUACUUCUAUGGAAGGGUGAGCCCUCACAGAUGGAGCAAUGGGGCGCGCACACCUGAACAAGGGAGGGGAAGGAGUUCUUAUCCCUGAUGCAUGUGACCCCUGCUGCUGUGUCCUUCCCCUAUUGGCUAAGGCUUCUGACAGCUUUGGAGAUUGUGACAUUGGAAUAAAGGAAAAACGUACAGGACUCAUGAAGCGCUGAAAUGUUCACAAAUAUCAAGCAAAAGUCAAUGAAAUUUAUUUUGAGCUAUUUACAUCAUUUAAUAAUUGAGCAAGGUAUACUCCUAUGAACAAAAUUUGGAGCAUGUUUGUCUCUCUCUGCCUGGCGUCUUCAGAAUUUGGAAACUAGUUAUGGUUUAUAAUCAGCUAUAGAAUUUUAACACGUGCUCUCAAAUGCAAGUUUCUGAUAACUUUGGAGAUUGUGACAUUGGAAUAAAGGAAGAGCUGGAAUGUUCAUGAAUAUCAAGCAAAAGUCAUGGAAAUUUAUUUUGAGCUAUUUACAGCAUUUAAUAAUUGAGCAAGGUAUACUCCUAUGAACAAAAUUUGGAGCAUGUUUGUCUCUCUCUGUCUGCCUGGCAUCUACAGAAUUUGGAAACUAGUUGUAAGUAUUCCUAACUUAUGGCAGUAUAAUUGUUUGCAUCAGUACAAUAAGAAUCCACUUUCUUUUGCAACAGGAUGCAAUUGGAGAAACUGGUUGUUUUACCAAGGCUUUGACUGGAAGGAUAUGCUUCCCUUUAAGAAACCAAGCUCAACUUACAGAGCUGAUAAAACCCCUUUGGGAAAACUGGCCUCAUACCUUGUCUACACAGUCCCCAUGCAGGGUUCCUAACGUGUGGUGAGUAAAGCAUGUCACUUUCUAACAGGUCCAGGAACCCCAUGUUCUUGGGACCUCAAGAAGAGUGGAGUUUACCAAUUCACAGGUAUUCGAGGGUAAAAACCCAUGGGUGGUUUCAGCUUCAGGAAGUCCUAUCUGAGAUUCCUUGUGGAACAGCGUUCCAUCAAAGCCAAUUUAAAAAGCCUAUGUCAAAAUAAUUAUUCUUGCUACACUCUAUGCAAAUAAACAGGCCAAGUAUAGGACUAAAGUUUAUUUUGCAAACAGCUUAGUCCUAUCAUGAUUUGUUUUUAACAAAGAUGAAGACUGGAGAAAGAAAUUAUGUUUCAAAACUUAUUAUACAUUUGUCAUUAAAUUCUAGACUCAUUAGCUGUUUUAAAGUUAUUGUCUACAUUUUGGACUAACCCUGCUAAUUUCUGUGAGCCAACCAGUGAUCUCUGGCUGCAGCUCACAAGGAACAAAAGGGAUAAGUAAUGUAAAACUCUGGAUCAAUAUUUUAAUUCUGAGCAAUUAUUCUGCAAAUCCAGUCAGGUAAUGGGAAUAAAUAAGGUGCCCAUCACCCAGAAGUUUCUUUUUUGGGAAAGUAAGACCAAGGGAACUAACCAAAGCAAAGCCCCAUGCACCCGAAUCUUAGCAAGCAUAACUACAGCCACCAGUUACCUGGGCAUGUCACAAGACAUCCUUUUCUCUCCCUUGUUGGAGCACGACUCAAUUCCACAGCCUCAUCUCAGCAUUUGGCUUAUGUUAAGGAGUCCAUGCAACCCCUGGAGACAUAUUUUUGUCUCAAACUCAAUUCCUAGCUUCAGAUCAAAGCCCUAGGAAAAAAACUUGCAUCUGAGGGAUCCAGAGGCAGAUGAUAACAGAAGUUAAAAUGUACAACAUAGGUGAGUAUGACUAAUUCCUGCCGAUUGAGCCAAGCUUCCUGUUUCAUGGAUAAAGUUCAUGCUAGUAUCCAUGGCAUAAAUAAGAUCUAGGGAACUCGAAGGCUACUGACAGCAGAGGAGAUAGGGUGUACAUGGGUAAGAGCAGAUAUUCCCAUCUCCUAAGCUCCCCUGUUAACAUGGAUGAAAGCUGCUUUGACACCCAUGGGUGAAACUCUUGUCACAGUUGCCAGAACUCGGAGAUGUAAGGACAGAAGAAAGAAAGAAGGGUGCCUCACUUUCUCACAUACCCCAGGUAUUCACUAGGAAGAGAAGGCAACCUGAGUUGCCUCAUUCCCCUCUUUCUACAUGAGUAGCCAUCCAUCUUCAGUCUGUACCACUUUCAAAUGCAUCCUGAACCCCUGAGACUCCUUUGAAAAAAAAAAAAAAAGCCUUCUUUUUUAGUUUCUCCUCCUCAGUUCUCUCUUCACAGAUAGGUAAUUGUGUCUCUGUACUAUGGGACACUCCCCUCAGAUGCAUCCUCCAAACUGGGAAAAGUUAAUUUCCCAAACAUUAAACUGGUUGACUUAGGAUUGGGCUCAGGGUAAGGGAACCCAGAAGCCUGACCUGCUGGCAAAAAGGGUAAAAGUGUUUUUUAAUCAGUUGGGCUCUUGGACUCCCUCUCUCUGUGCAAACUGGUAAAAGUUCUCAAGAUUUUCAAGCAGUCUUUACCUUGAUCUUGUUUAAUUUUUUUUCUUUUAGAGAUAGAGUCUCACUCUGUCACCCAGGCUGGAGUGCGGUGGUGCAAUCUCAGCUCACUGCAACCUCCUCCUUCCAGGUUUCAGCGAUUCUCCUGCCUCAGCCUCCCGAGUAGCUGGGAUUACAGGUGCAUGCCGCCAUGGCUGGCUAAUUUUUUGUAUUUUUUGUAGUAGAGACAGGGUUUCAUCAUGUUGGCCAGGGUGGUCUUGAGCUCCUGACCUCAAGUGAUCUGCCCGCCUCGGACUCGCAAAGUGUUAGGAUUACACGCGUGAGCCACUGCACCCCCUUGUUUUAUUUUGAUACAUGUUUUUUAAUGACCCGGUUUGUCUUUUCUUGCCUUCAGGCCAUAAAACUCCAAACAGUCAUGCAACCAGAGCCUCAGACAAUGGCUUCUUUUGCCAGGGACCCUUGCUUAGGCCUCUGAGGGAGCUCUGACAGCUGUUUUCCCCAAACAGUGCCCCCUUUCAGCACGAAGCAGUUAAGAUCAGUCUUCAUCCUUAUCCUUAUUCUAACAGAAGUUAGAUGUACUUCUUUAGAGAGGGGAAUGAUAGAGGCAGGAGGCAGAUAAGAGAACCUGCAUAGGGUCUUGCCUAAAUAUGCCCUUGGUGAAAAAUUCUGUCCCUUAACACAUGCACAGUAAGUGAAAUAAAUCAAUGUGGAACAGCUCAGACUAAGGGCCCACCUGUGCACUGGGAGAGUGGGGUGGAACCACAGGAAUUUGUGCCUUAUGCAGUGGGGAGGAGCCUGGCAUCUUCUGCUCACAUGUGGUGGCCUGGCAUUCACUCUGUGAGGUGGGAGUCUGCUGGCAAGACCCCCUCUUUUUUCCUGAGAACUUUCUUUUAAUAAAUUCUGUUCUCCUCACCUUUCAAUUGUCUGUGGGCCUAAUUUUUCCUGGUCAUGAGACAAGAACCCAGAUAUUAGCUGAAAGAAGGAGCAAAAAAUCCUGCAUCAGAUUGAUUCUGGACAUUAUAAUAAAUUUGAAUUGAUAGUAUAUAAAGAAUAAGUUGGGAUAUAGAAGAGAUAAGCUUAGAACGCAUGGGUAGGUACAACUCAUGAUUGGUUUGCAACAUAACGUUGUAGAACUCAAAAUCAACUAUGUAAGAUGCAGGGAUAAAUAUAGCUUUUACUGUUCAAAAUGUAACCUUUUUAGCAAUGACAUGGUUUUAGGGUUUAUAUUAAUCAUUGAUAGGUUUUUAUUAAUUCAAUGAGAGUAAAGGUACUUACUAGUAAUUUCAUUGAAAAAUGACAGUAUUUAAGAAUCUAAGAAACUUUAAGAUAUUUAAUAAUCUGGUAUGUGAGAAUUGGAGGAUUUUUUAAAAAUAAGAAAUAUAUAUUAGUGACCUCUAUGUGAUCAAAAGUUAAACAGGUUCAAGAAGCUCCAAACUGAGCCAGAGUUGUUUAAAAAUUUCCAAAUAGCUCUUCAAUUCAUGAGCUUAUCCCCCAAACCUUACCGAUAAGCUAUCAGUUUUGGGGCAAAAGUUUUCUCUUAGUUCAAACAGUUACACUUGAAUCUAAAGUGCAUAUAC